CUUGGUCAUUUAGAGGAAGUGAAAGUCGUAACAAGGUCUCCGUUGGUGAACCAGCGGAGGGAUCAUUACCGAGUUUACAACUCCCAAACCCCUGUGAACAUACCACUUGUUGCCUCGGCGGAUCAGCCCGCUCCCGGUAAAACGGGACGGCCCGCCAGAGGACCCCUAAACUCUGUUUCUAUAUGUAACUUCUGAGUAAAACCAUAAAUAAAUCAAAACUUUCAACAACGGAUCUCUUGGUUCUGGCAUCGAUGAAGAACGCAACAAAAUGCGAUAAGUAAUGUGAAUUGCAGAAUUCAGUGAAUCAUCGAAUCUUUGAACGCACAUUGCGCCCGCCAGUAUUCUGGCGGGCAUGCCUGUUCGAGCGUCAUUUCAACCCUCAAGCACAGCUUGGUGUUGGGACUCGCGUUAAUUCGCGUUCCUCAAAUUGAUUGGCGGUCACGUCGAGCUUCCAUAGCGUAGUAGUAAAACCCUCGUUACUGGUAAUCGUCGCGGCCACGCCGUUAAACCCCAACUUCUGAAUGUUGACCUCGGAUCAGGUAGGAAUACCCGCUGAACUUAAGCAUAUCAAUAAGCGGAGGA
rnacentral:rRNA from 1 species